UACGUAGGAGACGAGCGUUGUCCGGAGUUACUGGGCGUAAAGGGUGCGCAGGUGGCGGCGCGCGUGGGGGGUGAAAUCGCCCGGCUCAACUGGGCGGGGUCAGCGGAUACGGUGUGGCUCGAGCAAGCUAGGGGGCAAUGGAAUUCCCGGUGUAGUGGUGGAAUGCGUAGAUAUCGGGAGGAACACCAGUGGCGAAGGCGGUUGCCUGGAGCUUUGCUGACGCUGAGGCGCGAAAGCGUGGGGAGCGAGCCGG
rnacentral:rRNA from 1 species